rnacentral:rRNA from 1 species
AACGAACGCUGGCGGCAUGCCUAACACAUGCAAGUGGAACGAGACCUUCGGGUCUGGUGGCGCACGGGUGCGUAACGCGGGGGAACCUGCCCUUAGGUUCGGAAUAACUCCCCGAAAGGGGUGCAAAUACCGGAUAAUGUCUUCGGACCAAAGAUUUAUCGCCUUUGGAUGGGCCCGCGUUGGAUUAGCUAGUUGGUAGGGUAAAAGCCUACCAAGGCGACGAUCCAUAGCUGGUCUGAGAGGAUGAUCAGCCACACUGGGACUGAGACACGGCCCAGACUCCUACGGGAGGCAGCAGUGGGGAAUAUUGGACAAUGGGCGAAAGCCUGAUCCAGCAAUGCCGCGUGAGUGAUGAAGGCCUUAGGGUUGUAAAGCUCUUUUACCCGGGAUGAUAAUGACAGUACCGGGAGAAUAAGCUCCGGCUAACUCCGUG